rnacentral:lncRNA from 1 species
CAGCCUCUCCGCAAAGAAAGCAGGUGUAUUCUUGAGGCAUUUAACUACUGCCAGCAUGCCUUUUUCCAGGUCUCCAGACAUUUCACGGCAUAUGCUGUUCUCUAUGUCCCGGUUACACAUCCUCUGGUACUCACUGAAAACUGCUCUGAGGUGGGCCCUACUUCUCGCACACAGAAUGGCAUUGAAUUUGGAUUCAUCAGUUCCUAGACGAUUCUCACCAGCUGCAUAUAGCUCCUGUACAUCUUUUUGGACAAGAGACAUGUCAACAUUUGUACUUUCAUCUCUGUUACCCUGAGAAAGUGAAAUUAAAAGCCUCUGAAAGUGUCCAGAUGUGUCACUUCUUAUUGCUUCCUCCAGAGUUUUCUUAAAUUCUG